rnacentral:rRNA from 1 species
GAUCUUUAUUUUUAUUUAAUAUUAAAUAAAAAGAAUAUAAAAUUUUAUAAUUAAAUUAAAAAUUUUACUGGGGUGGUAUUAAAAUUUAUUUAACUUUUAUUAUUUUUUUUACAUAAAUAUAUGAAUUAUUGAUCCAAUAAUAUUGAUUAAAAAUUUAAGUUACCUUAGGGAUAACAGCGUAAUUUUUUUUUAGAGUUCUUAUCGACAAAAAAGAUUGC